AUGGAAAGCAUCCGCCGCCAUGAAAGAGCUGCUGCCUACAAAGUGUUCAAAAGUGUUGAGAAUCGUGAGAUUUUUCUGAAUUCUGCUGCCGAAGAUGAAGAUAGUGCUGCUGCGUUUCUUCAGAGCGAAAUGGCCGAGUUGCAUCAACGUAUCUAA
rnacentral:rRNA from 1 species